rnacentral:rRNA from 1 species
AACGAACGCUGGCGGCAGGCUUAACACAUGCAAGUCGAACGCAUCGCAAGAUGAGUGGCAGACGGGUGAGUAACGCGUGGGAACAUACCCUUUUCUACGGAAUAGCUCUGGGAAACUGGAAUUAAUACCGUAUACGCCCUACGGGGGAAAGAUUUAUCGGGGAAGGAUUGGCCCGCGUUGGAUUAGCUAGUUGGUGGGGUAAAGGCCUACCAAGGCGACGAUCCAUAGCUGGUCUGAGAGGAUGAUCAGCCUCAUUGGGACUGAGACACGGCCCAAACUCCAACGGGAGGCAGCAGUGGGGAAUAUCGGACAAUGGGCGCAAGCCUGAUCCAGCCAUGCCGCGUGAGUGAUGAAGGCCUUAGGGUUGUAAAGCUCUUUCACCGAUGAAGAUAAUGACGGUAGUCGGAGAAGAAGCCCCGGCUAACUUCGUGCCAGCAGCCGCAGUAA